rnacentral:rRNA from 1 species
GACGAACGCUGGCGGCGUGCUUAACACAUGCAAGUCGAACGGAAAGGCCCUGCUUUUGUGGGGUGCUCGAGUGGCGAACGGGUGAGUAACACGUGAGUAACCUGCCCUUGACUUUGGGAUAACUUCAGGAAACUGGGGCUAAUACCGGAUAGGAGCUCCUGCUGCAUGGUGGGGGUUGGAAAGUUUCGGCGGUUGGGGAUGGACUCGCGGCUUAUCAGCUUGUUGGUGGGGUAGUGGCUUACCAAGGCUUUGACGGGUAGCCGGCCUGAGAGGGUGACCGGCCACAUUGGGACUGAGAUACGGCCCAGACUCCUACGGGAGGCAGCAGUGGGGAAUAUCGCACAAUGGGCGGAAGCCUGAUGCAGCAACGCCGCGUGCGGGAUGACGGCCUUCGGGUUGUAAACCGCUUUCGCCUGUGACGAAGCGUGAGUGAUGGUAAUGGGUAAAGAAGCACCGGCUAACUACGUG